rnacentral:rRNA from 1 species
GCCGUAGGGGGCCAGCGUUGUUCGGAAUUACUGGGUGUAAAGGGUUCGUAGGCGGUGUGGCAAGUCGGGAGUGAAAUCUCUGGGCUCAACCCAGAGUCUGCUUCCGAAACUGCUGUGCUUGAGUGUGGGAGAGGCGCGUGGAAUUGCAGGUGUAGCGGUGAAAUGCGUAGAUAUCUGCAGGAACACCCGUGGCGAAGGCGGUUCUCUGGGCCUUACCUGACGUUGAGGAGCGAAAGCGUGGGGAGCGAACAGG